AGCAGCCGCGGUAAUUCCAGCUCCAAUAGCGUAUAUUAAAGUUGUUGCAGUUAAAAAGCUCGUAGUUGAAUUUCGGGAUCAAUAUGUUGGUCGUGCCUUGGUACGUACUGGCGUCAUUGGUUUCUACCUUCUGAAGAACCUCGAUGUCAUUAAUUUGGUGUCUUGGGGAAUCAGGACUGUUACUUUGAAAAAAUUAGAGUGUUUAAAGCAGGCUCACGCUUGAAUACAUUAGCAUGGAAUAAUGAAAUAGGACGUUUGAUUCUAUUUUGUUGGUUUCUAGGAUCGACGUAAUGAUUAAUAGGGAUAGUUGGGGGCAUUAGUAUUCAAUUGUCAGAGGUGAAAUUCUUGGAUUUAUUGAAGACUAACUACUGCGAAAGCAUUUGCCAAGGAUGUUUUUCAUUUAAUCUAAGAACGAAAGUUAGGGGAUCGAAGACGAUCAGAUACCGUCGUAGUCGUUAACCAUAAACUAUGCCGACUAGGGAUCGGACGAUGUUAAUUUUUAAUGACUCAUUCGGCGCCU
rnacentral:rRNA from 1 species